GUUGAGGCCAGGAAAAGUCAAGGAUGAGUAUUGAUUUAUAUAGCUAAUUUUUGGAGUGCGAGGUGAGUCUAGUGCCGAUACCAGGGUCGCGGAUCAGGAGGAGGGUGCGUGACAUGGAUGGACCCCUGGAGGGUGAUAGGACUAAAUAGUUCUAAAUAGUUCUAAACUUGAUAUAUGUUAUUAUUUUGUCGUAAUUAUGUUACCUUGUCGAGACAUUGUGUGAUGUCCCUGUUCGAUGACGGGAUGGACGGUAGGGAGGGUACUCCGUGUGAUCGGGACUCCCGAACCGGGUUUGUGGACUUCGAGUCCUGACGAUUCUUAUGUUUUCAGAAUUGCUAUUUGUGCUGGAUAUUGACUAUAUAUGUUGUUGUGUGGAGAAAUUAUGUGUGACUGUUAGGUGGCCUGAGGCCCUGCUUAGA